GAUGAACGCUGGCGGCGUGCCUAAUACAUGCAAGUCGAGCGAACAGACGAGGAUUUUGCUCCUCUGACGUGAGCGGCGGACGGGUGAGUAACACGUGGAUAACCUACCUAUAAGACUGGGAUAACUUCGGGAAACCGGAGCAAAUACCGGAUAAUAUAUUGAACCGCAUGGUUCAAUAGUGAAAUACGGUUUUGCUGUCACUUAUAGAUGUAUCCGCGCCGCAUUAGCUAGUUGGUAACGUAACGGCUUACCAAGGCAACGAUGCGUAGCCGUACUGAGAGGGUGAUCGGCCACACUGGAGCGGAGACCCGGUCCAGACUCCUACGGGAGGCCGCAGUCGGGAAUCUUCCGGGAUGGGCGAAAGCCUGACAGUGCACCGCCGCGUGAGUGAUGGAGGUCUUCGGAUCGAUAAACUCUGUUAUUAGGGAAGAACCAAUGUGUAAGUAACUAUGCACGUCUUGACGGUACCUAAUCAGAAAGCCACGGCUAACUACGUG
rnacentral:rRNA from 1 species